AUAGAACGCUGGCGGCAUGCUUUACACAUGCAAGUCGAACGGCAGCGCGGGCUUCGGCCUGGCGGCGAGUGGCGAACGGGUGAGUAAUGCAUCGGAACGUGCCCAGUAGUGGGGGAUAGCCCGGCGAAAGCCGGAUUAAUACCGCAUACGACCUGAGGGUGAAAGCGGGGGACCGAAAGGCCUCGCGCUAUUGGAGCGGCCGAUGUCGGAUUAGCUAGUUGGUGGGGUAAAGGCUUACCAAGGCGACGAUCCGUAGCUGGUCUGAGAGGACGACCAGCCACACUGGGACUGAGACACGGCCCAGACUCCUACGGGAGGCAGCAGUGGGGAAUUUUGGACAAUGGGGGCAACCCUGAUCCAGCCAUGCCGCGUGCGGGAAGAAGGCCUUCGGGUUGUAAACCGCUUUUGUUCGGGAAGAAAUCCUCUGGGCUAAUACCCCGGGGGGAUGACGGUACCGGAAGAAUAAGCACCGGCUAACUACGUG
rnacentral:rRNA from 1 species